GGGUUAUCAUGAUCAGAGCCACAGAGGCCCGGGGAAAGGGGGGACAAAAGGGUGUCCAGGAGCUCACCAUAACAAGUCUCUUCUUCUCUGUGCUCCCCUCUGGCUCCAUUCCUACGCUGCCUCCAGAUCAUGAACAUGGCAGGGACAACCAAGCAAAAUACCAUGCAUGUGUGCCAUUGGAUCUUUCCCUCCAGUUCCCACAGAGGCCAUGCCAGAGACUCCUGUCUGGCUUCCAGGUCUGCAAUUUCCUUCUCCAAGUGCAGCUGGUGCUGCCAAAAGAUCACCUCCGGCUCCUUCAUCCUCUGGACAAUUUCUUUGUCAUCUUUGGGAGAAAUCCCAUUCUUUCCAGAGGGCUGAUUGAUGCUGACAACGGCCAUCAGCACCAGCUACCUAUGGAAGAUUCCUUCAGCCAUGGCUGAUCCUUCCCUGAAAGAGAAAGAAAGGAGGACAGAGCCAAGAUCCAGACUAUAUUGCCUCGGGAAGAGAAAGGAAAGAGUCUUGCCCCUGGCAGGAAGGCUCUGGCCAGCCCUGCAGAAAGGCUGGAGGCCAGAGGUGCUCCUCAGGGCACGCCUGCUGCUGCAAGUUCCAAGUCCAGCUGCCCAAAGAGGCUCCAUGAGCACAUUGAGAUAAAUGGGCAAGGAGGCCAGCUCCUUUUGGAUGCCUUUUAUAAAGUGAUCAGCUCUGGGUGGGGCCCCGAGGGGUCACGCACACUGCUGCUGCUCCCUUUGGCAACGCAGAGGAGGAGGUGAACAGUUUUGCUUCACAGCAGAACUGGGGCUUCUGUCCUCAUGGGCGUGCCUAGGACGACAUCUUUUGGCUCGUCGGCUGGGGUCCUCGCUCUGACUCAGUUCUACUUAGGUUACAGUGACAGUGAAAACCAUGUUGGUAGGGUAGAGGGACUUCUUGAUGGUAGGUCUAGUUGCUUAGUUGUGCAAAUUUUAGGUUGGCUCAUCAUUUCUAGGGUCUUUUGUGGGAUUUUCCUGUGCUUUUCUUGAUUUGCAUAUUUCCCGGGAAUGUUCCAGUCACCAUUUUGGGGAGCAGCAGAGGCAAUACCCGAUGGACGCAACAAGGGUUACAGCACCAGCAGAUUCCCACAGAGGAGAGGCUCUUCCACUGCCCAGACUGCGGGAAAGGAUUCAGGGACAACUCCACACUCGUCACCCACCGCCGCAUCCACAUGGGGGAGAGGACCUACGAGUAUCCCCAGUGUGGGAAGAGCUUCUCCAGGACCUCUCACUUGACCCAACACCAACGGAGGCACUGGGGUAAGAAAUGGAUUCCGGAGCUUUGUGAAACCAAGACCUGUCUCGUUUGUUCCUGGCACCGGCAGCUGCACGCUCCCCGGACACCGUGAACUCAACUUCUGGAGGAUUUGUGGGUUCUGUGGGGAUUUUGCGCAGUGUUCUCCAUCUCUUUGCACUACAAAAGCCAAGAGGGAUGGAUCUGUCACCACAAAACCACUCACAUCCCACUGAAAGUAACUGAAUUUUAACUUAUAAAGGCACAAUCUCACCUCAAUUUGCUUGUUCUGACCUCAAAAAACUCAAUCCCACACAAAGCUCACUGAAUUCCACAGCUGCACGGGGACCCCUGUGACUGGGAUCUGAUAAGUAUGGCCCCCUCCCUCCUGUUCUGAUGGGGUUGGCGGAGAGCCAGAAAGCCCUCUCUGUCCAGAGCCUAGAUAAGGCCAUGUCCCUUCCUGUUAUCUCUCUUUUCCCCUUCAUCUCAUGGAAUAAACAGCUGGACAACAA